GAAAUGCGAUAAGUAGUGUGAAUUGCAGAAUUCAGUGAAUCAUCGAAUCUUUGAACGCACAUUGCGCCCUUUGGUAUUCCUUAGGGCAUGUCUGUUCGAGCGUCAUUUAACCCUUCAAGCUUUGCUUGGUGUUGGGCGUCUUUGUCUCCGCCUCAGCGUGGAGACUCGCCUCAAAAUCAUCGGCGUCGGUAGUCGUCAGCCUAGAGCGCAGCAGAGUUCGCGUCUCGAAGCUUGUCCAUCCGCCCGCCGCAACCAAUCCAUCCAUUUUGACCUCGGAUCAGAUAGGGAUACCCGCUGAACUUAA
rnacentral:misc_RNA from 1 species